UGUUUAGCUUUUCUUCCUCUACGUUGAUACUGGACAGCAGACCAGCGGAGGUUGUUAAAGCUCAGUCUCACACAGUUUUCAGUCCAAAUGCCCAACAGGAGACUGACAGUUGUCCCCUGGAGGUGAUGGAGGUCUUUUCUGUCA